UGGUCAAGUUAUUAAGGGUGCAGGGCGGAUGCCUUGGCACUAGGAGCCGAUGAAGGACGUGAUAAGCUGCGAUAAGCUUCGGGGAGUUGCACGUAAACUUUGAUCCGAAGAUUUCCGAAUGAGGAAACUCACUUAGAGUAAUGUCUAAGUAUCAUUAAGUGAAUACAUAGCUUAAUGAGGGGAACUCAGGGAACUGAAACAUCUAAGUACCUGAAGGAAGAGAAAGAAAUUCGAUUCCGUAAGUAGCGGCGAGCGAACGCGGAUUAGCCCAAACCAAUAAAGUUUUCUUUAUUGGGGUUGCGGACAUAUCAUAACGAAGAGGUAUCGUAAUUGAAGAGGUUUGGAAAGACCCACCACAGAAGGUAAUAGUCCUGUAUGUUAAACGAGAAGACUU
rnacentral:rRNA from 1 species